CUUUAUUGGGGAGGGGGGAGUCUGGUGCCAGCAGCCGCGGUAAUUCCAGCUCCAAAAGCGUAUAUUAAAGUUGUUGCAGUUAAAAAGCUCGUAGUUGAACCUUGGGCUUGGUUGGCCGGUCCAUCUUUCUGAUGCGUACUGGACCCAACCGAGCCUUUCCUUCUGGCUAGCCUUUUGGCGAACCAGGACUUUUACUUUGAAAAAAUUAGAGUGUUCAAAGCAGGCCUUUGCUCGAAUAUAUUAGCAUGGAAUAAUAGAAUAGGACGUUAUGGUUCUAUUUUGUUGGUUUCUAGGACCAUCGUAAUGAUUAAUAGGGACGGUCGGGGGUAUCAGUAUUCAGUUGUCAGAGGUGAAAUUCUUGGAUUUACUGAAGACUAACUACUGCGAAAGCAUUUACCAAGGACGUUUUCAUUAAUCAAGAACGAAAGUUAGGGGAUCGAAGAUGAUCUAGAUACCGUCGAUACCC
rnacentral:rRNA from 1 species